UACGUAGGGUGCGAGCGUUGUCCGGAAUUAUUGGGCGUAAAGAGCUCGUAGGCGGUUUGUCACGUCGGCCGUGAAAACCUGCAGCUUAACUGUGGGCGUGCGGUCGAUACGGGCAUCACUGGAGUUCGGCAGGGGAGACUGGAAUUCCUGGUGUAGCGGUGAAAUGCGCAGAUAUCUGGAGGAACACCUGCGGCGAAGGCGGGUUGCUGGGCCGACACUGACGCUGAUGCGCGAAAGCCAGGGGAGCGAACGGG
rnacentral:rRNA from 1 species